GUGGGGAAUAUUCCGCAAUGGACGAAAGUCUGACGGAGCAACGCCGCGUGAGUGAUGAAGGUUUUCGGACUGUAAAGCUCUGUUGUUUAGGACGAAAGUGCCUGUUGCAAACAGUUACAGGUAUUGACGGUACUAAACGAGGAAGCCACGGCUAACUACGUGCCAGCAGCCGCGGUAAUACGUAGGUGGCAAGCGUUGUCCGGAAUUAUUGGGCGUAAAGAGAAUGUAGGCGGGAAUCUAAGUCUGUUGUGAAAAUGCGGGGCUCAACCCCGUAUUGCGAUGGAAACUGGGUUUCUUGAGUGCAGGAGAGGAAAGGGGAAUUCCCAGUGUAGCGGUGAAAUGCGUAGAUAUUGGGAGGAACACCAGUGGCGAAGGCGCCUUUCUGGACUGUGUCUGACGCUGAGAUGCGAAAGCCAGGGUAGCGAACGGGAUUAGAAACCCUUGUAGUCC
rnacentral:rRNA from 1 species